AGUGCUAAUACCGGAUAACAACAGAUGAUGCCUAUCAACUGUUUAAAAGAUGGUUCUGCUAUCACUCUUGGAUGGACCUGCGGUGCAUUAGCUAGUUGGUAGGGUAACGGCCUACCAAGGCGAUGAUGCAUAGCCGAGUUGAGAGACUGAUCGGCCACAUUGGGACUGAGACACGGCCCAAACUCCUACGGGAGGCAGCAGCC
rnacentral:rRNA from 1 species